rnacentral:rRNA from 1 species
ACGUAGGGUGCGAGCGUUAAUCGGAAUUACUGGGCGUAAAGCGUGCGCAGGCGGUUCGUUAAGUCAGAUGUGAAAGCCCCGGGCUCAACCUGGGAACUGCAUUUGAAACUGGCGGGCUUGAGUGUGGCAGAGGGGGGCGGAAUUCCGCGUGUAGCAGUGAAAUGCGUAGAGAUGCGGAGGAACACCGAUGGCGAAGGCAGCCCCCUGGGCCAACACUGACGCUCAGGCACGAAAGCGUGGGGAGCAAACAGGA